rnacentral:rRNA from 1 species
GAUGAACGCUGGCGGCGUGCUUAACACAUGCAAGUCGAGCGAGUGAGUUCUUCGGAACGAUCUAGCGGCGGACGGGUGAGUAACACGUGGGCAACCUGCCUCAUAGAGGGGAAUAGCCUCCCGAAAGGGAGAUUAAUACCGCAUAAAAUUAUCGAGUGGCAUCACAUGAUAAUCAAAGGAGUAAUCCGCUAUGAGAUGGGCCCGCGGCGCAUUAGCUAGUUGGUGAGGUAACGGCUCACCAAGGCGACGAUGCGUAGCCGACCUGAGAGGUUGAUCGGCCACAGUGGGACUGAGACACGGCCCAGGCUCCUACGGGAGGCAGCAGUGGGGAAUAUUGCACAAUGGGGGAAACCCUGAUGCAGCAACGCCGCGUGAGUGAUGAAGGUCUUCGGAUUGUAAAGCUCUGUCUUUGGGGACGAUAAUGACGGUACCCAAGGAGGAAGCCACGGCUAACUACGUGCCAGCCGCCGCCGUAA